AUGUCGCUGGCUCUGUUGUGUUAUUUUUGCACGUCUGGCGCAGCCGGGCUCGUUUCACUUUCUCUUUGGGCUGCACCAGCCCGAGGCUGCGCUGCCGGGUCGCCGCUGCCUGCAGGGCCGCAGGCUGCACUGGAAGCAUCCGUUUGCAUUGAAACGUUCCCGCAGCCUCGUUUCGGGGCGCAGAGCCCCGAGCCGGGGCAGCCGUUCCCGCCGCGGCAGAGAUGUUGCAACGUGGGAAUUCAGGGCAACGGCAGCACCAGCCGCCGAAGCCAAAAGCGGGGUCGAUGUGCACUGCAGCAAUGUUCGCAUGGUCGAAGGCGGAGGGACCUGCAAUAUCAUAGCGUCCUUCCUGGCGCAUCCCCCGCGGGACGGUUGCGACGAUUCUCGCACAAUCCCACGAUUCCAGCACGGGGGAGGCUGGACGCCCCCUCCGAAGCACGGCGCACAGCACGGCUUUCGUCAGGCAGCCGGAGCCGGCCGCAGGAGACCCUUCUGCAAGCUAUUAUCCUGGGCCGUGUUUGGCUUCGUAGCCAAGGAUCGCAGGGCUCUGUGCUCCAGUGCCGGCCUGGGCCGUCCGUCUCCCUCGAAGCGGGGCUUGUGCAGGACCGCUUUUGCAUUUAA
rnacentral:lncRNA from 1 species